rnacentral:lncRNA from 1 species
GGGGGAAUUUAUUUAUUGCUUUCAGGCAGGCAGGGGAGGGUCAGUCGUCCUUCUUGUACCAGCUGUUUCUUAAGCAACUUUAAUUCAAAAUAACCAAGAUGUUAAAGUGGCACAUUUUGAGGCAGCCUGCCCUGAGCCCCGUCAAUGCCAUAGUCAAGGUAGAGCUCCAUUUUCUGAGUGGAGUUUGGGCAGAAGAAGGGGGCCCCACUUCUUAACUGCGCUCAUCUUGAACCCAACUUCUGCAACAGAUUGCCCUUGGGGAAUGACUGCCUCUUUGGCAAGAUGGCUCUUAGAUGCCCAGAACAAUUACCUGGAGAAAAGCCCAGCUGUGAGCAAUUAGCAAAUAACAGUAACAACAGUUGGUAUGAGAAGAACAUGCUCGGGUCAGCACUAGUUCCAGGAGAAAAACAAGUGAGAUGUGAAGCAGAGCUGGAUCAGCUGAGUUGCCCCAGUGGAACCCUCAAUAUCAGUCAACUGCCUGCCAGCCUGCAAACAUAUAAGUCAGUCCAGCUGAGAUUAGCAGAACCAUUAAUGAGCCCAGCCUAGAUCAGCUGACCCCAGCCAAACCAGAAACACGAGCUAAAUAAAUAUUUGUUGUUGCAUGGCACUGAGGUGUUAUGGUUGACGGUUAUACUGAAUCACUGUGAAAAUAGAUAAUUGAUAUGUGGUCAGACAAAAUAAUCUCAACUAACGCUAUGUUUUAUUACAUAUUGAUGAAAAUUUCUUCUGGCCUACUAUGUGAAAAAGUUUUAUAA